GCGGCGGUAGGAGCAGGACGGCGAAGGACGGAGCGGAGCCGCCGCUACUUCCCUCGCUCACUCCCUCGCUCAGUCGCCCGCCCCCUCCCUCCCUCCCCUCCCUUCCCCGGCCCCGGCCCGGGCUCCGGCCCCGGCCUUUUUGCUCUUGGGUCUUCUGCAGUGAGGAUGUCGGGCUCGACGCUCCCCAGCGCUCUAGUCAUCUCGCUGCUGCUGGUCUCUGGCUCCCUCCUCCCGGGGCCAGGCGCCGCUCAGAACGCUGGGUUUGUCAAGUCGCCCAUGUCAGAAACUAAGCUCACUGGGGACGCCUUUGAGCUGUACUGUGAUGUGGUCGGGAGCCCCACGCCAGAGAUCCAGUGGUGGUACGCAGAAGUCAACCGAGCAGAGUCUUUCAGACAGCUGUGGGACGGUGCACGGAAGCGCCGUGUCACCGUAAACACCGCCUACGGGUCAAACGGCGUGAGUGUGCUGAGAAUAACCCGGCUCACCUUGGAGGACUCUGGGACUUACGAGUGCAGGGCCAGCAACGACCCCAAGAGGAAUGACUUGAGGCAAAACCCCUCCAUAACAUGGAUUCGAGCCCAGGCCACCAUAAGCGUCCUUCAGAAGCCAGAUAUUGUCACCAGUGGAGAAGUCAUUAUUCGAGACAGCCCUGCUCUCCCUGUCACCCUGCAGUGUAACCUCACCUCCAGCUCUCACAUCCUUACAUACAGCUACUGGACAAAGAAUGGGGUGGAACUGACUGCCACUCGUAAGAAUGCCAGCAACACGGAAUACAGGAUCAGUAAGCCGAGAGCUGAAGAUUCAGGCGAAUACCACUGUGUAUAUCACUUUCACAGUGCUCCUAAAGCAAAUGCCACCAUUGAAGUGAAAGCUGCUCCUGAUAUCACUGGCCAUAAACGGAGCGAGAACAAGAACGAAGGGCAGGAUGCCAUGAUGUACUGCAAGUCAGUUGGCUACCCCCACCCAGAGUGGGUCUGGCGCAGGAAGGAGAACGGUCUGUUCAUGGAUAUUGCCAAUAACUCUGGCCGCUUCUUCAUCAUCAACAAGGAAAAUUACACUGAGCUGAGCAUCGUGAACCUCCAGAUCACAGAGGACCCUGGCGAGUAUGAAUGUAAUGCCACCAACUCCAUUGGCUCUGCCUCCGUCGUUACCAUCCUCAGGGUACGGAGCCACCUGGCCCCACUCUGGCCUUUCUUGGGAAUCCUGGCUGAAAUCAUCAUCCUUGUGGUGAUCAUUGUUGUGUAUGAGAAGAGAAAGAAGCCUGAUGAAGUUCCUGACGAUCAUCAGGCAGAUUGAGCUUGAGGAGAAUUCAAGUCAAGCCUAGAAGCCACCCCAAGAUCGCAGGCCACCUGGCCUUUCAGGCAGAUUUAAGAUGACGAACCAGCUGGGCCAAUGAAAACCAACUCUACCAACAAUCACAAAGAUAAAAACUUGCGCCAGAGAAACACAAAUUAAGUACUACUUAUAAUAUCUUUAGGUUCCUGAAACUGGUGGCAACAUAACCUGCUAAAUUUUCUGCUUGGACCUUUUUGGUUCUCUCCCAUUUAAGUGAGCAACACGACGACGACUGUCUAAAGCAUGCCUUAUUUAGCCUCUCCUGUAAGGGUGACCUAGCAGGUACAUUUCAAAUAAUGCUUCAGUGUAGAAGGUGUAAUCUAUUUUGGGCUUGAUGUGCUGUGAAUGUUGCUUCCUUUUCCUUUAUUAAAGUAUUUAAAUAGAAGUGAAAAGGUCCUCUGAGGAUCGGAUCAUGCAUGCGCCAUUUUUUACUUACUGCGACUGUUAAUAUGGCAAAAUGCACUGCUGCCAUCUAGUGAUACAUUUUUGUAAAGUACAGCAAAACCUACAAAUAAAUACAGUAUAUAAAUAUAUAUAUUUAUAUUUUGGGGGGUGGGAGAAAUACAAAAUAAAAUGCUUGUUUCAGUUUUAAGCUGCUGAUAUUCCUUAUUGUAUGUUGUCAGUUGAGGAAAUUGUGCAGUUCUGGUACAAAAGAUGAGUAAUAUAAACUGAAAUCUGUAAUUUUAAGGGCUUAACCUACGAUUCUAAUAAGUUGGAAUAGUCCACUGAAUGGCAUAAUGAAUUUCAGUAUAUAUGUAUGAUUGCUUUUUAAGUGAUUAUUUUUCCGUUUGCUGAAUCAUGUAAAUUCUUCUAUCUUUUUGCACUGAUCUGUUGAACCUUAUUGUACAUUUAAUUAAGGCAAACUUUUAUAAUUUAUCUUUAGUUUUCAGUGACCUUGAAAUAUUCUAGCAUGGUAUUCUAUGCAACUAGUUAUACUUUGGGGUUAACACUGUAUUUUUUCACAUUGAUUUAAUGGUUGAGUGUAGAUUUUUCUCACUCAAUAGGGUUCUCUCACUCAGUAUGUAACCGUAGAUGCAUGUACUCAUGUUUUGUGUAAUUGUUGAUGUGCAAUGAUGUAUAGAAAAGUGGAUUCACCGGUUUUUAAAAAUAAAACAUUGAUAAAAGA